rnacentral:rRNA from 1 species
UACAGAGGGUGCAAGCGUUAAUCGGAAUUACUGGGCGUAAAGCGUGCGUAGACGGUUAUGUAAGUCGGAUGUGAAAUCCCGGGGCUCAACCCCGGAACUGCAUUCGAUACUGCCUGGCUAGAGUACUGGAGAGGAGAUUGGAAUUUACGGUGUAGCAGUGAAAUGCGUAGAUAUCGUAAGGAAGACCAGUGGCGAAGGCGGAUCUCUGGACAGUUACUGACACUGAGGCACGAAGGCCAGGGGAGCAAACGGG